rnacentral:rRNA from 1 species
UGCCAGACUCCUACGGGAGGCAGCAGUGGGGAAUAUUGCACAAUGGGGGAAACCCUGAUGCAGCAACGCCGCGUGAGUGAGGAAGUAUUUCGGUAUGUAAAGCUCUACCAGCAGGGAAUAGAAAAGAAGGUACCUGAAAAAGAAGCCCCGGCUAACUACGUGCCAGCAGCCGCGGUAAUACGUAGGGGGCAAGCGUUAUCCGGAUUUACUGGGUGUAAAGGGGGCGCAGACGGCAGCGCAAGCCAGGAGUGAAAGCCCGGGGCCCAACCCCGGGACUGCUCUUGGAACUGCGCGGCUGGAGUGCAGGAGGGGCAGGCGGAAUUCCUGGUGUAGCGGUGAAAUGCGUAGAUAUUAGGAGGAACACCAGUGGCGAAGGCGGUCUGCUGGACAGCAACUGACGGUGAGGCGCGAAAGCGUGGGGAGCAAACAGGAUUAGAUACCCCGGUA